rnacentral:rRNA from 1 species
CAGAAGAGGGAGGGUCCGAGGGUGGUUGAAGAACGGCGUCUUUGGCUGAUGGCAGGGCAGGGGAGAAUGGAGAGAGGAUGGAGGGAUGCUUUGCCUUAAAGAGGAGAGGGCGGCGGUGUGGGGGUGGAGUGGGGGCGACCUCUUCUGUCGGCUCGGCGGCGGAGGACCUAGGUGGCCAAGCACCAGGGCUAAGGGCAAACGAAACCGGUCAGGCAGACAGUGGGCUAGCUUAGCUUUAACAAAACAAAGCAAGGAUUAAGUAAGUAAGGAGAAUUGAAAAUAGCAAACACCAGGAGAGUUAGGCAUAAGAAGCUCGCGCAAUCCUGAUUAUUGACCCUGAUCGCCUAGGUAGCCAGGUCGUACCUCGGGAGUCGUGUCCCUCCCGGAAGAUGAAUGCGCAGCCAACUGCUAUCGGUUAGUCAGCUAUCCCGACUUCUAAGUCUUGAGAAGGGGAGACAGGGUCGUAAUUUGGUUCGACGCAGAUUAGAACGGGUUUAUCGAAGCAUAAAAUGGGUCACGGAGGGCCACGGACCAAUGUGUCCUUAUGGUCUCCUUCCGGUUCUUGAUCGUUAUGAAGGUGGCCAGAGUUGAAGACCGUCCGGACGAGAAGUCUGAAGGAGACGUCUCAACCUACCGUGAUCGAACAGAGGGUCACAUUAUUCAAGGAGAGUUCUUUGGAGCCUUUAGAGUCCCGUCUACCGUGGAAAAGCACAAAAAGUCUUACCUCGAAGUGAUAAAGUUCCAGAGCAUCUAGCACGAGCCUUUUGACAUGCACCAAGUCGUCUACUAUAGCCUACCGAAGUCGCGUGAGUUCCGAAUGGACGUCGACUCCUACCCUGCUGGUCUAAAAACCUCUAGGAACUGAGGCACUCUUUUUUACUCGUGUUCGAUGGACUACGCCACCACAUAAACAAUCAAGGUCCAAAUAAAUCAUUGGUACCCGGUGAAAUGAAACACUUCUGUUUUCGUAUGAAGAGGUUUUACCCAGACCAAACAGUGUAACGGUUCUAAGUGUCACUCAGAAGUCAUUCAUUUUUGCGUUCCCUCUAUUUCCUUAUGUAACUUCUUUAUAUGACCCCUAGUUCCUUUGCACACGAUGAAGAGCCAGUGUCGUUCCCACCACAUCUACGCCGUCGUCGAGACAGUGAGAUGACCGGUGUUGACUUUCUGUUCCAACGUCCAAACCAUAAUCGAGUUUCGGGUAUACCUCCUUCGGGUCAACGAAGACUAUAGGACUCUCUCCCCGUCGAACCACUGAUACAGUACGAUGCGUUCGAAUACCUCUAAAACCAAAGUUUUCAGGAAUUCCCACUAGACGUCCGUGAUCUUCUAGACUGUAUACUUUCCUCCUUUCUUAAGCACCGCGUCGUGGGUAACGGGGGGCUCCACGGUUAACAUAGUAAGGUGUGCCUCCGUUCGUAGUGGGGUUCACACGACUGUCGGGAGAGAGUACAGCGCGUACACCUCGAGGGCCAACGGCGACUGCCGUUAGGACGCUCCUAAGGCCAACAUUACGGUGAAAGUCGACGGAACCGUCGUACGAGCGUCGACGACCACCGCUCCAUAUCACUCUUCUCACUGCCAGAACACUGCUCCUUCCUACGACUUCAAGGGCCUAGCCACCGCCAGGCUGGUCUCGCCUUCGACCUGGUACGCACCUACCACAUAAGGAGCUACUUACUCCUCGGGCCCCUAGUCCGCUUGUGCAGCGUCCAUACGCUUCGAGACGACUGAGACGAGCAGCUCCAACGCGUCUUUUCCUCCGUAGUCUGCCGGUACUUUCUGCUUAUCCCUUUUGCAACCUCGACACGACUGUCUAAACACAUUGAUAUCUAACUGAUCCAACAACAACCAGCUGCAACUUUGACGAAGACCAUUGGAACGGCUUCGACUAGAAAUACGUAUAUGAAGACGAAAAAAAAACAGUACUCUAUUAUAGUAGUCCUUAGUAUCUUGAACGCAGCAUACAAAUCAAACCACGAUGUUGAAAUUUUUAUGUCCAAACACC